rnacentral:lncRNA from 1 species
CUUUUCCAGCUGUGGACUACAUGAUCUUGAAAGCACAACUUGAAACUGAGAUCAGAUGAACCCUCUGGACCUGGCCAGAGGACAAGUUUCCUUUUGCUGGAUCCAGUAAUUCUCUCACCUCUGUGGAAAUCCUGCUUUUCAAUGUGCAUGCUUGCUGUCAAGGUAUACAAGGAGCAUAAAGAAGGUAUAAAAGGACUAUGAAAGAAGACUAGCUCAGGCAUCUGCAUUUCAUGAGCUGAAAAAAAGACUUGUGUCAUGCUCCCAAGGAAGUAAAAAGGGUCAUGAAACGAAGACAAAAGCUACUGAAAAGCUUUUUGAAACCAUGUCAUUAAAAGUAAACCGAAAUCAUUCAGAUCUGGAUAAAUG